UUUAACACAUCUAGGUACGCUACUAGGUGGAUGACUCGGUUCGAAACGCCGAUGAAGGACGUGACAAGCUACGAUAUGCUUUGGCGAGUUGAACGUAAGCUUUGAACCAAAGAUUUCCGAAUGAGACUUCUCUCUUUGAUGGCUCUUUGGAGCCGGGGAACGCAGGGAAUUGAAGCGUCUUAGUACCUGCAGGAAAAGAAAUCAACCGAGAUACCGUUAGUAAGAGCGACUGAAAGCGGUCCAGUACAAACUGAAUCCGUUGCCGUAAGGUAAUGGAGAUGUGGUGUUGUAGGACUUCUCUUACGGCCUUAAUUCUGACUCGAAGUUUCCUGGAAAGGAACACACUAUAGGGUGAUAGUCCCGUAGAGGAAAGAAGAAAGGUCUUAGGAAGUAUCCUGAGUACUACUCCUCGAUAUUGGAGUGGGAAUCUGGGGGGCAUUAACCUCUAAUACUAAAUACGUUUCGAAACCGAUAGAAAACAGUACCGUGAGGGAAAGUUGAAAAGAACCCUUAACAGGGAGUUAAAAGACUCUGAAACCUAGUAGUUAUAGUAUGGUGGUGCUUUUAGGAGUUCCACCGUGCGUUUUGAAUAACGGGCCAGGGAGUGUGUUUAUGUGGCGAGGAUAACCCGAAAAGGGGCAUCCUAAGCGAAAGCAAGAUCCCGCAGCAUGCGAGGGGAGUGGUAUGAAAGUGCCAUAAGUCACAUGGACACGACCUGAAACCGAGCGAUCUAUUCCUGGGCAAGAUGAAGCGAGGGUAAAACUUCGUGGAGGUCUGAAGAGGUUCUACGUGCAAGUGUUCUUCUGACCUGGGAAUAGGGGUGAAAAGCCAAUCGAGCUCGGCGAUAGCAGGUUCCUGCCGAAAUUGACCUUAGUCAAGUCUCAGACGAGAUGGUUAUGGUUGUAGAGCUACGGAUAGGAAGCUUAGGCGGGGAAACCUGUCGGCCUUCUGUCCAACUCCGAAUGCCAUAACGUUGUAGACUCUGGGAAACAGGGAAUCUUGGGGUAAACUUGAUUUCCGAAAGGGGAACAACCCAGCCUAUGGUUAAGGCCCCUAAAUAUCAGCUAAGUGAGAAAGGGUUAACGGUGUCCGUGAUCUGAGACAGCGAGGAGGUUGGCUUAGAAGCAGCCAUCCUUUAAAAAGUGCGUAACAGCUUACUCGUUGAGGUCGUGGGCCCGGAAGAUUGACGGGUCUAAGCUGAUUGCCGAUACCAUAGACCACGAUAAGUGGGUAUAGGCAGGCGUCUUUAGAGGGCAGAAGCUUCUCCGUGAGGAGAAGUGGACCUCUAUGGAAUGAAAAUCCUGGUGAGAGUAGGAUCCUAGCAGGGUGUGAAUCCCUGUCAUCGUAAGGGCAAGGGUUCCUUGGCGAUGUUCAUCAGCCAAGGGUUAGUCGGUCCUAACUGUACUCCUAACGGAUGUACGGGAAAGGGAAAGUGGUUAAUACUCCACUACUACUUUGUUAUACGUGGCAACACAAGCGUUGUUUCUGACGCUUUGGGAUAAGCUAACACUUCUUGUCUGAAGUGUUAAUGCAGAUAAGUCUGGGGAGUAUCGUAAUGAUGAGAACCAGAGUAAACUGUAGAAUAGCAGGCCUAUGGUCUGUUUGGCUGAUUUCUGGAGUCCCUGAAAAGGGAACAACGAUAGAUACAAGGUAACCGUACCCAGAACCGGCACAGGUGCCCCUAGGUGAGAAGCCUAAGAUGUGUGAGUUUAAUCUAGGUUAGGGAAUUCGGCAAAUUAGUCCCGUACCUUCGGUAUAAGGGAUCCCUGCUUUCGUAUCCGUAUGGAUGCGAUGUCAGGGCUCAGUAACAAAGGCGGUCCGACUGUUUAACAAAAACUUAACUUUCUGCUAGGCGGUAACGCUGUGUAUAGAAGGUGACAUCUGCCCAGUGCCAGUACUUUAAGCUUCGUUUCAACGGAGUGAAGAGCUGGUAAACGGCGGGAGUAACUAUAACUCUCUUAAGGUAGCGUAAUACCUUGCCGGUUGAAUGCCGGCUUGCAUGAAUGGUGUAACGAGAUCGCCACUGUCCCAACCUAGAGUCUCCCGAAUACACUUUCCUGGUGCAAAGGCCAGGGACUUCCAGUGGGAAGCGAAGACCCCGUGAAACUUUACUGUAGCCUGUCGCUGUGUUGUGGUUCGUGCUAUAUAGCGUAAGUGGGAGCCGUUUGAGGCCAAUGUCGUCAGAUACUGGCUUAGGCAACGAUGUAACACCACUUUUCAUGAAUUACAUCACUUACCUUCUUUUGAAGGGACACCGGUUGGUGGACAGUUUGGCUGGGGUGGCACGCUGUUGAAAAGAUAUCAAUAGCGCCCAACGGUUGGCUCAUCCGGUUUAGAAAUCCGGAGUUGAGUGCAAGGGCAUAAGCCAGCCUGAUUGAAAUUCGAACAUAAAGAACUUCAAACACGAAAGUGUGGCCUAGCGAACUCCCAUGCCUUCUUAAUGAGGGCUGGGAAUGACUGAAAAGUUACUCCGGGGAUAACUGAGUUGUCGCGCCCGAGAGUUCAUAUCGACGGCGCGGUUUGCUACUUCGAUGUCGGCUCAUCCUAUCCUGGCGGUGCAGAAGCUGCCAAGGGUGGGGGUGUUCACCCAUUAAAAGGGUUCGUGAGCUGGGUUCAGAACGCUGUGAGGCAGUUUGUUUGAUAUCUACUGGGAGUGUUGGGUGUCUGAAAGGAAGGACCUUUUAGUACGAGAGGAACGAAGGUUCGUAGCCUCUGGUCGACCGGUUAUCUGACAAGGUACGCCGGGCAGCUACGCUAUAAGCGAUAAGUGCUGAAAGCAUCUAAGCACGAAGUGCCCCUUGAAAAGAGACACCUUAGAACACGGCAAGAACAGCCGUUUGAUAGAAGCGAUGUGUAAGUACCAAGGCAACGAGGUAUUCAGCAUGCGCUUACUAACGUUCACAAUUUUUGUGUUAAA
rnacentral:rRNA from 1 species